rnacentral:rRNA from 1 species
GAUGAACGCUGGCGGCGUGCUUAACACAUGCAAGUCGAACGAUGAAGCCCAGCUUGCUGGGUGGAUUAGUGGCGAACGGGUGAGUAACACGUGAGUAACCUGCCCUUAACUCUGGGAUAAGCCUGGGAAACUGGGUCUAAUACCGGAUAGGAGCGUCCACCGCAUGGUGGGUGUUGGAAAGAUUUAUCGGUUUUGGAUGGACUCGCGGCCUAUCAGCUUGUUGGUGAGGUAAUGGCUCACCAAGGCGACGACGGGUAGCCGGCCUGAGAGGGUGACCGGCCACACUGGGACUGAGACACGGCCCAGACUCCUACGGGAGGAAGCAGUGGGGAAUAUUGCACAAUGGGCGCAAGCAUGAUGCAGCGACGCCGCGUGGGGGAUGACGGCCUUCGGGUUGUAAACCUCUUUCAGUAGGGAAGAAGCGAAAGUGACGGUACCUGCAGAAGAAGCACCGGCUAACUACGU